AAUAAACCAAAUGACAUGACUGAAAUAAAAUGAAAUAAGUGUAUAUUUAUAUUAUAAGUGGGAAACAUAUUGACGCUCUAUGUUCUCUGUUUCUUGCAGCCUGAUUUUGACUCUGACUUUGACAUUCUGGACUGACGGCACCGGGCGGGCGGGUGCUCUACAUACAGACCAGAAAUAAGAGAAUGUGUUUGAAGUUUUUUUUUUCUGGAGAAGCAGCAGCAUCCUCAUCGGUGUCGCGGGCUGCACCACCUUUGCUCCUUGUGCGACGGUGAAACAGAGCUCCAUUUUGGGGAUUAGGGUCGACUGGUGGUUCAUUGGGUGGCUCUGGACCUUGAGCCAGAUCUGGAGCUGCAUGAUAAAGAUUUUCUUUCUCUGGAGAAGCAGCAGCGCCCUCGCUUGACUUUGUGCGAUGGCGAAUACCAACUGGAGUCCCAGUCAGUGAAGCAGUUUCAUCAGGUGCAUCAGCUGCUGAGAGGUUAGAAAGAGAAAGAGAGACAUGAACUGAUAUUAUUAGUAUUAUUAGU
rnacentral:lncRNA from 1 species